rnacentral:rRNA from 1 species
UACGUAGGGCGCAAGCGUUAUCCGGAAUUAUUGGGCGUAAAGAGCUCGUAGGCGGUUUGUCGCGUCUGCCCGUGAAAGUCCGGGGCUCAACCUCGGGUCUGCAGUCGAUACGAGCAAACUAGAGUGUUGCAGGGGAGACUGGAAUUCCUGGUGUAGCGGUGAAAUGCGCAGAUAUCAGGAGGAACACCGGUGGCGAAGGCGGGUCUCUGGGCAACAACUGACGCUGAGGAGCGAAAGCGUGGGGAGCGAACAGG